AGGCAGAUUUUGCGGAGAAGACUCAUCCGGCCACAGCACCAGAGGAUCCUCCUGAUACUGAAGAAUCCUGAAGGGAAAGCCUCCCCAUUCCGAGUCCCUGCUGUCAACYCUGAGGACCUCAGCAAACCACUGGAAACAGGAAAGAGAGUUGCUGGAGAAGCCCCUGUUCAAAGGGGAUGGUUUGCUGGAUGACGAAUGAGUUCCACGCGCUGGCUGUGACCCACACAAGCCUUGGACAUCCCAGCAGACCCUCAAAUUCUGCUGCUGCAAAGGAUCCCAUCAGGAUGUUCCCUUUACCAGCUAAUGUCUGACUUUCUGAAGAUGGAUGGUACGGCCAGGUCUGUGCACUCGCGACUGA